AUCUUGCAAACUCAGGACUGUAUUGGGGUGCUGAGCCUACGAGGCUCACCUUGUCCCCAGAGUCCUCUUCAUUCUGGAUGAACUGGAACUUGCGUCCAUCGAGGCUGUAGGCCACUUUGAAGGUCUUCACAUACUCCGCACUGCCUGCGCGGCUGGCGCCCUGCGUCACCACACCUGUCACCCGCAUCUUCCGAAGGAGGUUCACCUGUCCCAGGGGCACAGAUCUGCACCUUAUCUCCAAGAUCCAGGACCACCCAAGGUCUUCACUCACCAGCCAGCUGGAGCCAACAUCUGCUUCAUCACCCUAGCCACAUGGACCAGGACUCAAGACAGCUAUCACAUCUGCCAGCAGGUGGGGCCCCUCCUGCUCCAGGGGUCCCCCCAGCACUUGCCAGGGUAAGGACACAGGGACAGGAAUGUCCUGACCCAACACCCCAGUUGGUGCUGAGCUCAGUUCCAGCACUCUCUUGCUCAAAUGGUGGCCAGGGAUUCAAGAUCAGGGACAGCCAGAGGCUCUGCCUCCAGGAUCAUCCUCACACCCAAGGCCACCCCGAGGGACUCGGGUGUACAAUCACAGUGCUAACUCCAGAGAAACAUCACCAGACAAUUGAGGCAGCCCCCAGGUCUCUCACCUAGCCUGUAGGGUCACCUCCUACCUGUGUCUCAGGUGUGACUGAAUCCAGGCAGGCAGACCCCAGGCCAAGAAAUAUAAAAGUCAGAUUAGUCAGGCGGUGGUGCAUGCCUGUAAAUCCCAGGACCUGGGAGGCUGAGGCUGGAGAAUUUGCAAAUUGAAAUCCAGCCUCAGCAACUUACUGAGAUUCUGUCUAAACAAAAUAAAACAAAAUGCACAAAGGGUUGGAGAUGCAGCUCAGUGCAAAGGCCCCAGUUUCCAUCAGAGCCAGUCAGGGGGGUAAUUCCACACAGGCACACCCAUAGUUACCUCAGCCUAGCAAGGUAAUUACGGCCCAUGGCUCCACCCCAGCUCUGUCUGCUUUAGACACCCAUCCCCCAUCCUCUGGCCGGCUCAGGGCCCAAACACCUCUGGCUUCAGGGCAGGCCUCCUCGAGGCAAGGAUGCAGCUCCCAUCAGGCGAACCCCAGAGCCCAGCCCCCAUCUGCCCAGCAGAGAACAGAGGCCACCUGACCUCAGUCCCAGACACUCUGUGGCCACAUGCUGGGUGGGUCCCUCACGCACCCACCAUCCUGGGCACAACAUGCCCCCCCCGGGGGGGGGGCAAGGCAGUAAGAGUCCUUGGGCAAUGGGUAGGGUGCUCUGGCUGGGAUUUCCCAGCCCCUCUGCACACAAUGGGCCUCUGCCCACCUGACCAGGGGGGAUGGGACAAUCCAGUCACCCAGCUCUUCUCCUCCUCCCCAUGACUGCUGUGACAAGGUCAUAGGUCAAAUUUGGGCCAAGAUUGAUUUACUGAGCUCUUGGAGCCCAAAAGCUUAAGAAUGUGUUUAUUUUCCCUGAUUAUCACAAAAACCCGCAGAACUAACCCUAACACUGUGUGCAGCUCAUGGUGACUUGGGAAAGAGUGCUUAUACAACCUCCAGGGUCACUGCAACCCCUCACUCUCAGGCAGAGACCUCAGGCCUGAUCUGCAGUCCCAGGAGAAAGGACCAGGCCGAAAGAAACGGCAACACAACCAUUUGCCCUUCACUAAGGUUCUGUCCCUACCUCAAUGUCCCCAGAGAACAGGGGCAGCUCACAGCCUGGGCCACCAGGACAGAAGCCCCAUCUUCCCCAGGAAGCACCCGGGUACUUACUCGUC